rnacentral:tRNA from 2 species
GGGCCCGUAGCUUAGCCAGGUAAAGCGCCCGGCUGAUAACCGGGAGAUCCCGGGUUCAAAUCCCGGCGGGCCCACCA